CCUACGGGUGGCAGCAGUGGGGAAUUUUCCGCAAUGGGCGCAAGCCUGACGGAGCAAGACCGCGUGGGGGAAGAAGGCUCUUGGGUUGUAAACCCCUUUUCUCAGGGAAGAAGUUCUGACGGUACCUGAGGAAUCAGCCUCGGCUAACUCCGUGCCAGCAGCCGCGGUAAUACGGAGGAGGCAAGCGUUAUCCGGAAUUAUUGGGCGUAAAGCGUCCGCAGGUGGUGGGGCAAGUCGGCGGUUAAAGACUGGGGCUUAACUCCAGAAAGGCCGUGGAAACUGCACCACUAGAGGGCAGUAGGGGUAGAGGGAAUUCCCGGUGUAGCGGUGAAAUGCGUAGAGAUCGGGAAGAACACCAGUGGCGAAAGCGCUCUACUGGACUGCAACUGACACUCAGGGACGAAAGCUAGGGGAGCGAAUGGGAUUAGAUACCCGUGUAGUC
rnacentral:rRNA from 1 species